rnacentral:pre_miRNA from 1 species
UACAAUGUUUUGACUCUUCGUCUUAUUUAAAAAUUUUUUACGAUUAAUAUUUAUUUAUUUACUAAAUGAUAAAACAUGAAUAGUACUUUAUGCGUGACUAAUUUUUUUAGGUUUUUGCACAAAUCUUUCAAAUAAGAAAGACGAAUGGUCAAACGUUGGGUAUGGAAA